rnacentral:tRNA from 1 species
GCCCCGAUAGUGUAGUCCGGCCAAUCAUCCUGGCUUUUCGAGCCAGGGACGUGGGUUCGAAUCCCGCUCGGGGCA